rnacentral:rRNA from 1 species
GAUUCCAGCCAUACCAGCCUGAAUACGCCUGAUCUCGGAAGUUAAGCAGGAUUGGGCCUGGUGAGUACUUGGAUGGAGACUGCCUGGGAAUACCAGGUGCUGCAAACU